UGCAGAAUUCAGUGAAUCAUCGAAUCUUUGAACGCACCUUGCACCCUCUGGUAUUCCGGAGGGUAUGCCCGGUUGAGUGUCAUGAAUAUCUCAACUCCAAUGUUUUGUCAAGGUCUUGUCGACUCGUCCUGCUGGCCUAGCGAGGCUGCUGCGACUGUUGCGAGGCUGAAGCGUUGGAGCUUGGACUUGAGCUCUGUCGGCCUUCUCAGGUCGACUGGCUAGAAAUGCAUCAGCGAUGACGUCCCUUGGGUCCAUCUCGGCGUGAUAAGUUGAUCGUCGCAAAGGUCCUCGGGUUGGCUCGCUCCUAAUGGUCUUCGGACAGCCUCUGACGUUUACACCUCAACUCGGGUAGGACUACCCGCUGAACUUAAGCAUAUCAAUAAGCGGAGGAAAAGAAACU
rnacentral:rRNA from 1 species